rnacentral:lncRNA from 1 species
AAUUUAAAUAAAUAUAUAGUUACUUUAAUAAAUUAGAAUUAAUAUUUAAAAGUAUAUUUUAAUUUAUUUUGUUUAAAAAAAGUGUUAAAGGUUUAAGUUUUUAUUGGAUUUAAAGAGUCAAAACCCAAAAUUUUGGCCCAAUUUACACAAGAAAAGGCCCAAAUCAGCAACCCAUCUCCCAAACAACCCUUUUACCCGCCGGAUUAACCCUAACCCGCCCCACUCUAUUUUAAAUCUUGGCCAUCCAUUAAUUUUGAUCCAACGGACUCAAUUAAUUCCCACAUCCAUAUAAAAUCCUAUUUUUUACCAAACCCUAAACCUAGGACCUCUAAGCAGCCUAGCCGCCACCUUCUUCCUAACAUCUGACCAGCUGCUGACCCCGUCACACACCAUCAAACCAACCCCUAUCCUCGUCAAAAACUCGCCAGAAAACACGCAAAACAAUCGUCACUCCACUGAAUCACCCCACUUCACCGUCUUUGCCAUCUCCGCUAGAUCCCAGCGGUACCGGCGAUCCCUCUCCCAUCAUUGGAAACCAAACGCCGGAAUUCCUCCAUAGCUGCCACCAAAAGUGGCCAAAAAUCCACUAGAAUCAGGUCUGUCCGAGGAGCUCGAGAUGUGCGUUGAGGUCUCACUGAAUAUCCGGUUAGCUCGUCAUCUUUCAUUCGAGUCCAUCAAUUCUAACUGAGGUUCUGGCUGAUUUUGUUGCUGCUCGUAGAGGUUAUCUGGUCAAAAGUUCUGCUCGUCGAUUUUGUUGUUCUUUCUCGUUGGAUUUCGGAAUCAAGGGCUGUGUAUUUGCUGUUUCUUUCCAUUGUUAUACUGAAGAAAAUUCUCCUAACUUGCUGAUUUUGGUUGCCGAAUCGAGUUCCCAUCCAGCACUUUCCGGUUUUGCUUUAAGGUCCGUCAAUAUCUCAUCCUUUGUUUAUUGUCUCGGUCUUAUAUGAUAUUUGGAUGAUUAAUUUCUAUGGUAAUUAUUUUGCCGUUAAGUGCCAUACUUUCGACAUCAUCGUUCUUUCCUCUUAGUUAAGAAUUAGUUCUGUUUUAUUUCUUGCUAUCAGUUCCAUUGAUGUUUAAAUAUAACUUUGAAUGUGGGUAUGUAAGAAAUUAAAUUGGAAUAUUAAUUGACAGUGUUUGACAGUAGGGGUUAGUUCUUUAAAAAAAUGUGAAGGAAACGGUUGCUAUACUAUUUUGGAUAUCGAAUUGGACCGUGGGGGUUUGGGUUUAAACAAAAUCAAAUAAAUUCGAGCGUGAUAAUUUUCUUUGUGUCUUUGCUUGAUUGUGAACAUGCUUUAAGCCGACAAUAUUUGGGUAGACAAAUUUUAGUUUUGAGGUGAAAUAUUGUUCCUUAAAUUAAUUUAUUCGGGGAAUAUUCCAGGGGUUUAUAUAUAUUUUAUUUUAGGGGUAUGCCCGAAGUGAAUGUAGCGGAGGCCACAACUACAUCGUGGAGGAAGUAUUGUGUAGGUUAGCUUGGGAUUUACUUUUUAAUAUUUUUAGUUUUAUUUUCUUUUUAUUAUGUGGGGACGACUUCGAACCUCUUUUGGAUAUUUAUUUUUCUGUAUUUUUUACCUCAAUCGAAUAUUUUAAUAGCCAACUUGAUCAAGUACGCAACCGUAUUAGUUACGAGACUUGGGGAAUGCCUAAUACCUUCUCACCGAGUAAAAUGAACCCCCUUACCUGAAUCUCUGGUGCCGACUUAGUUUUGAGUCUGAAAUGUUUUAAAAGGAAAAAAAAAAAAAAUUUAAAAUGGUGACCUGGCACACCGAAACCAAUGUCAGGUGGCGACUCUGAGUUUGUUUCCUUUUGAAACACAAUUUUUGUCACUUUUCAAUUAAAAACCCCUUUCAAGCUUUUCAUCAAAAUCUUUUUAUUUAUUUUAAGAGAGUUAGUGAGGUUUCUUUUUUUAAAAAGGGGUGUGACAGUCGCUAUGUUCGAGCUCUCGAAGGGUCACUGGAGAUA